UAGGGAAUCUUCGGCAAUGGACGAAAGUCUGCCCGAGCAACGCCGCGUGUUUGAAGAAUUUUUUCGUUUCGUCAUACUCUGUUGUUAGAGCAGAACAAGGACGUUAGUAACUGAACGUCCCCUGUUGGUAUCUAACCAGAAAGCCACGGCUAACUACGUGCCAGCAGCCUCGGUAAUACGUAGUUGGCAAGCGUUGUCCGUCUUUAUUGGGCGUAAAGCGACCGCAGGCGGUUUCUUAAGUCUGAUGUGAAAGCCCCCGGCUCAACCGGGGAGUGUCAUUGGAAGCUAGGAGACUUGAGUGAAGAAGAAGGGAGUGGAACUCCAUGUGGAGCGGUGAAAUGCGUGGAUAUAUGGAGGAACACGAGUGGCGGAGGCGGCUUUCUGGUCUGAGAAUGAAGCUGAGGAACGAAAGCGCGGGGAGCAAACAGG
rnacentral:rRNA from 1 species